rnacentral:misc_RNA from 1 species
UUAAUAAAAAAAAAAAAAAAAGGUUCAAUAAUAAUUAGAACGAAAAAUGUCACUCAUGGAGAAGAAAAAUGUUUCAUCCAUCGGUGAUUAUUUGUCAUGGGAAGAUAACGAAUAUAAAGCAUCGGUAAUUCCUUAUUUAUCUGGAUAUACAAAUUUGAUUUCGAAUAAUUUUAAUGAAACGCCUACGACAAUCGUACAAUCGAGCCAAAAAAAUUUGCUCGAAUAUUUAAUCGUACCAUUAUACGGUAUUAUUUUUUUUCUAUCAAUCGUUGGAAAUUGUUUAGUGCUGAUUACUUUGGCACGAAACAAACGAAUGAGAACGGUGACCAACGUUUAUCUAUUAAAUUUGGCUGUGUCAGAUUUGUUGCUCGGCGUAUUCUGCAUGCCAUUUACUUUAUUGGGACAAAUGUUAAAAAAUUUUGUCUUUGGCUUAACAAUCUGCAAAUUGAUAUCAUAUUUCCAAGUUGUCUCAGUUUCCGUCGGGGUUUGGACACUGGUUGCUAUUUCCUUAGAACGAUAUUUUGCUAUUUGUCGACCAUUAAAGUCACGUCGUUGGCAAACCCAAUUUCAUGCUUAUAAAAUGAUCGUCCUUGUUUGGGUUUUAUGUCUUAUAUGGAACGUACCGAUACUUAUUGUUUCGCAAAUUCAAAAUAUUACCGGAGGAAGAAGAAAAUGCAGAGAAGUAUGGGCAAGCAUUGGAACAGAACGCGCGUACAAUUUAUUUUCAGACGGAAUGUUACUUCUUUUACCUCUAAUCCUUAUGACCAUGGCAUAUUCUUUAAUCGCAAUUAAACUUUGGCGAGGACUUAAAAGAGAGAUGACGCAAAAUUUCAAAUGUCAACGCAAAUUAAAGAAAAGUAGAGCCACAUCGUCAUUUACUGCGAAUAGUACAACUAUGAAAAAUAGGAAACAUGAAUCUAAUGUUACGAUAGUUGUCAAGGCGUGUAAUUCAACGAGGGUACGUGUACCGCGACAAACAAGAAUGGAUACCAUGAUGUUAAAUCACGGUGAAGAAUCAACCGAAUCAAAAACAGAAAGUGUUUCUCAACUUGGAACCAAAAGAAAUUGUCUUUCAUCGAAUAGAACAAAUUCGAACAAAUCGAGGAACGAGAAUUCCAAAAAUUCCAAUUCUUCUUGCCCGUUAGGUAGACAGCACGUUAUACGAACUAAUCAAAUUAACAAAAGUAUCGAGUCGAAGAAAAAGGUUAUCAGAAUGCUAUUUGUCAUAGUUUUGGAAUUUUUCGUUUGCUGGGCACCAUUGCACGUAGUCAAUACUUGGUACCUUUUCACUCCGGAAUUAGUUUACUCCAUGGUUGGGAGUACUGGAAUCAGUUUGAUACAAUUGUUAGCGUAUAUUUCAAGUUGCUGCAAUCCAAUAACGUAUUGCUUCAUGAACAACAAAUUUCGCCAAGCAUUUUUUGGCGUCUUUCAUUGUCAUCGUUGCUGGAGGAGGCAAAACCAGAAAAAUUGGCAACAAUAAUGAAUUUAGUGGCAACGAGUCGACCAUGUGUCUAAGAAAAACUUCUAGUUUAGCAAAAACCGAAGUAGUUCAGCUUUUAGAAGAAAAAGAUCGGGCCUAACAUCAAGCGAGCAAAUAACAGGGAAAAUGGGAUGUUUUCAAACGGGUAUUAAAUAUAAUAAAGAAUUUUUUGCGAGAAUAGGAGACAACGUUGAAAGGAAAUACUCGUAGAACGAAUAAAAACAAACAAUCGAAUUCCGUGCUGCGAAAUGUUGUUCCCUGAUUACAGUCAUUCUGUAUACGAACAAUCUCCGAUUGUUUUCACUGAAAACUUCGAUAUCAGCAAAUAAUUGAGAACGUAUUUUUCGUAGAAUAUUAAAAGAAUCGCACCUUCCUUCGCAAA